rnacentral:lncRNA from 1 species
CUGUAGGAGCUUGCUGUGAUCAUAGACUGGGAACCUUGUCCUUUCUCUAUCCUGUAGGAUUCACAGACUAGGAACCUGAACUGAGUUCGUCAGACUUGUAUGUCUCCCUCUCACUGUAGCACAUGGAACCCCACCCCACCCCCGCUACUCUCACUGAAGCACAUGCAUUGGAGCUGCGUUAAGAAGAAAGCCAUCAAUCACCUCACGGCCUUCAUGUGUCCCGAGCUACUCAUUGCUCGUGUGGCUCAUGUCCCUCCAGCUUGUCACCCUAACCACUGAGCAUCACACUGAAGUAAAGAUCAUGCUAUAGUUAAGGCUUAAGU